GGGGACAGAAUGACAGGUGGUGCAUGGUUGUCGUCAGCUCGUGUCGUGAGAUGUUGGGUUAAGUCCCGCAACGAGCGCAACCCUUAUUACUAGUUGCCAGCAUUCAGUUGGGCACUCUAGUGAGACUGCCGGUGACAAACCGGAGGAAGGUGGGGACGACGUCAAAUCAUCAUGCCCCUUAUGACCUGGGCUACACACGUGCUACAAUGGAUGGUACAACGNGUCGCGAAACCGCGAGGUUUAGCUAAUCUCUUAAAACCAUUCUCAGUUCGGACUGUAGGCUGCAACUCGCCUACACGAAGUCGGAAUCGCUAGUAAUCGCGGAUCAGCAUGCCGCGGUGAAUACGUUCCCGGGCCUUGUACACACCGCCCGUCACACCAUGAGAGUUUGUAACACCCAAAGCCGGUGGGGUAACCUUUUAGGAGCNAGCCNUNAGUGCAGU
rnacentral:rRNA from 1 species